AACGAACGCUGGCGGCAUGCCUAACACAUGCAAGUCGAACGAGACCUUCGGGUCUAGUGGCGCACGGGUGCGUAACGCGUGGGAACCUGCCCUUAGGUUCGGAAUAACUCCCCGAAAGGGGUGCUAAUACCGGGUAAUGUCUUCGGACCAAAGAUUUAUCGCCUCUGGAUGGGCCCGCAUUGGAUUAGCUAGUUGGUAGGGUAAAAGCCUACCAAGGCGCCGAUCCAUAGCUGGUCGGAGAGGAUGAUCAGCCACGCUGGGACUGAGACACGGCCCAGACUCCUACGGGAGGCAGCAGUGGGGAAUAAUGGACAAUGGGCGAAAGCCUGAUCCAGCAAUGCCGCGUGAGUGAUGAAGGCCUUAGGGUUGUAAAGCUCUUUUACCCGGGAUGAUAAUGACAGUACCGGGAGAAUAAGCUCCGGCUAACUCCGUG
rnacentral:rRNA from 1 species